rnacentral:lncRNA from 1 species
AAUAAAUGUCAUUUAAUAUGCAUAAUUGAUAUAUUCGCAUAGUCAUUUUUAUAUUGUGUAAGGUUAUACUGCGAUUUGUUUAUAUUUGGUAUGCAACAGGGGUUUUGCAUUGAAACUAAUAUGGUUCUUUUUUGUCUACUUAUAUUCAGUUCUUACGUAAACCUGCGUAACAAAGUAUACUAGGCCAUGAACUUUGUAUAAUGUUAGACAACUGGGUGAAUGUAUGCGAUGCACUGUAUGUUUAUUUGACAAUUGUGACAUGAAUAAAGUAUCAGAACUUUCAGUGUAUUUUUUCUUUGCGACGCCCACAGUUACAGUAAGAACUCUACAUCAUUGACC